GAUGAACGCUGACAGAAUGCUUAACACAUGCAAGUCAACUGUGGCGGACGGGUGAGUAACGCGUAAAGAACUUGCCUCACAGCUAGGGACAACAUUUGGAAACGAAUGCUAAUACCUGAUACUGUGAGAGAGCUUUGCGUCCCAUUAGCUAGUUGGAGAGGUAACGGCGCACCAAGGCGAUGAUGGGUAGCCGGCCUGAGAGGGUGAUCGGCCACAAGGGGACAGGGAAACGGCCCGUACGCCUACGGGGGGCAGCAGUGGGGAUGAUUGAGCAAUGUACCAAAGUCUGAUCCAGCAAUUCUGUGUGCACGAUGAAGUUUUCGGAAUGUAAAGGGCUUUCAGUUGGGAAGCGGUACCAACAGAAGAAGUGACGGCUAAAUACGUGCCAGCAGCCGCGGUAAUAC
rnacentral:rRNA from 1 species